rnacentral:rRNA from 1 species
CAUGCAAGUCGAGCGGUCAAAAUGAGGGGGCUUGCCCCUGAAAGACGAGCGGCGGACGGGUGAGUAAUGCGCGGGAACGCGCCCUUUGGAGGGGGACAACCUUGGGAAACCAGGGCUAAUACCGCAUAACCUCCACGGAGCAAAGCGGGGGAUUUCUUCGGAAACCUCGCGCCAAAGGAGCGGCCCGCGUCCGAUUAGUUUGACGGCGGGGUAACAGCCCACCGUGACUACCAUCGGUAGCUGGUCUGAGAGGAUGAUCAGCCACACCGGGACUGAGACACGGCCCGGACUCCUACGGGAGGCAGCAGUGGGGAAUAUUGGACAAUGGGGGCAACCCUGAUCCAGCGAUGCCGUGUGUGUGAAGAAGGCCUUCGGGUUGUAAAGCACUUUCGCAGGGGAAGAAACGGUGCGCUCUAACAUAGCGCGCAACUGACGGUACCCUGAAAAGAAGCGCCGGCUAAUUCCGUGCCAGCAGCCGCGGUAAUACGGAAGGCGCAAGCGUUAAUCGGAAUGACUGGGCGUAAAGCGUGCGCAGGCGGCCGCGCAAGUCGGAUGUGAAAGCCCCGGGCUCAACCCGGGAAUGGCGUUCGAAACUGCGCG